CAAGUAAUCGCGGCUGCAAGUGCCGAAAGGCAGCAGGUGAGGAAAGUCCGGGCUUCACAGGGCAGGAUGCCAGAUAACGUCUGGUGGAGGUGACUCCAAGGAAAGUGCAACAGAAAUAUACCGCCACAGUGUGAGACGACGCAGGACAUGGUCCGUGCACGGCUCUUUGUGGUAAGGGUGGAAAGGUGGUGUAAGAGACCACCGCUUUGCUGGUAACAGCAAGGGUCCCUGUAAACCCCAUCCGAAGCAAGACCGAAUCGAAACGUAUGUGGCCCGCUAGUUUCAGGUUGGUCGCUUGAGGCGGCUGGUGACAGUCGUCCUAGAUAGAUGAUUACUCAAGACAUAACCCGGCUCAUCGUCUUGCUCCU
rnacentral:RNase_P_RNA from 1 species